UCAGGAAACUUCUCUCCCCAUCCUCUCUAACCUCUUCGCUCCCUCCGUCUCUUCCCACGCGACCGAGGCGAUGGGGCGAGGCGACCUCGGUGGUGGCCAGUUCUCGGUGCGGCGGCGGCCACCCUCAUCCUCCUCCACACCCCUCCCUCCUCGCACUGCAAGGGCAGGGCGAUGGCGGCCCUCGCCGGGUCUUGCGCCGGUGCAUCGGUUCGUCGCCCCCGGCCACGUUGCUGAAACCCUACCUGCCACUUCCAGACCCACGCCGCCGCCCCGUCCUUCACCGUCGCCUCCUCUACUCGCCCGGUCCCGGCAGCCGCUCUCCCCCUGGAACUCUCUUCUCUUCUCUUCCCCACUGUUUCCACUUCUCCUUCCUCUCCCUCCCCCUCCACGUGGGUGAAUCCUAGCAACGGGCGCUUGCCCUAGCACCCGGCAGCUGGCACACCAGAGGUUCGGCGCCUUGCUGACGCUGGGUCGUACGUGCUAUGCAGCCCACGCUUGGACCGUGCACAAGCACGGGACCCCCUGGUGCCGUCAGCUUGCUCCGACCCCUCCUAUUCCUACUCAACGCCUCUCCAGGUUUGGAAUCCUUGCAGUGCGGUCAGUUUUCUUUAAAGGUAUAGGCAUCAAUGGCGACAAAAUUCUCCUUCUCAAAGCGGUACUGACGAUGAUGACAAUCAUAGGAUAUUUAUUUGCCAAUUUGCUUUGUUGCAGGAGCUACAUAUUAUUGAUUAUUGAGACAAAAAUAUCACUGCUACAGAAUCAGUAAAUUAUGUAUAUUACUAUGUAGAAAGGUUGUAUAAUUAUCUGGUUACAGUAUGUUAGCAAGCAUUCAUUGAGUGGUAAUCAAAUCACACAUGUUUUAAUUUACAAACUUUGAAUACCCCUCCCAGUUUAAAAAAGCUAUAUAUUCGGUUCAAAACACCACUGGUAACUAAGAUAGUCUUUGCUAUUUCCAUGGUAAAGCUAUAUACUCAGAUACAAAGUUCAAAUUGUCGGUUAUUAUUUAACGACUGUGACCAACAAAUAAAACCUAACUCUAAAGAGAGUUGGAUGAUAAAUUAUAACAUAGAUAGGGAAAGGAGCAAGACUCUGGAGCAAAUCUGCAAAAGACUAUGAUACUCUUAGUCUGAGAAUUUGUACCACUGUGGACAUUUAUGUUGUAAUUAGUAUUGCAUAACUGAAAAUAGUAAAAGUAUAUAUAUAAACAAAGAGUACAGUAGUGCUCUAGAAAAGGCCCCAAAUUAGACAUGCUGUGUUUAGGAAGCCAACACAUCAGAAUGACAUUAUAUAAUUUUGUGGAUUCUUAGCUGUUGUCAUGUGUUUACCUAAGCACUGAUGCAUUCAAAUUGCUUUAUUAAGUAUCCUGUGGGCCACAAAGCAACAUACUCCAACAUAUGAGCUAGAAUACCCUUUAUAUAGAAAAUGCCUGUAUAAAAAACUAUAUCUUGGAAAACUAUGAAUCAUUAUGACAGUCACAUAUGCACUUUCAGCCAAAAUUACUGCAGUACAAGCUAAAGAGGUGUCUCUAGAUUUUGUGCUGAUAAUUUUGGCUAUGAUCAGGUUCCAUGCGCUCUCCCAAUUUUGGCUACCACCAGUUUGAGGAUAGAAACCUCACAGAGAUACACAAUUUCAGAGGCUAUUGCUAAAGUAGAUGGUUACAAUGGAGGUUGUUCAAUGGACCAGCUUGUGGGGAUUUUUCAAGAACAAGUAUGAAACAGAGAAGAAUCUGUUGGGAGGAGCUUUAGGUGCCAAAGCCGCGGGAGAUUUGAAGCUUAGCAUCACUGACCAUGAUAUCUCUUGGUUGUCUCCAAGUACUAUGUGAGGGUUACACUCAGUAGGCUUGCAGAAUCUUCUUUCCCUGAGUUUGUAGGAGGCAGAGAAGCAUCUUGCAGUCAUGGUGAACUAGACCAUUUUAUGUUCCGCCAAAAUGUAACCGGUGUCUAAUCUCCAAGCAUUUCCAAUGUUAUCAAAAGGUCCCAUAUUUUGCAUUGCAAAGGAGCACUGUUCCCUUCUAUAAAUUCUACAUUGUUCAAAUAUAUGUGUAUCUAAAAUAUUCUCUGUUUAGCAAUCGGGUGUCAUCUUUUCAGGUUUCCCCUCCUAGGUCAUAGGAUCAGGAUGACAAUAAAUAAAUUAGAAACUGCAUGCUACACUCUACCAACAUGACAAAGGCAGCAACUUCGAUUUGGUGUGUUCCUGUGAGCCAUCCAUGGUGACGCUGCCCUAUACUUUAGAGAGUAAGGUCUUCAAUAACGAUGCUCUCGUAUUCUCAAAUCUGGAUUCAGUUUAUUAUAUGGCCCUAAUUCUUGUUCCUUCGAUUGAUAUUGUGCUUGCUGAGGGUGCUGCUCGACAAAAUGGUGUGACAUUGGAAAUCUCCUUGGAGGAGAUUAGCUGCACACUGCAUGUAGAAGUAGUCAACUGCUGGUUGCUCCUGGUUGCUCAUUGCAGGAUUCAGUACAUGUACAAGAGCGAACACGUACAAGAGGCCCGGUGGUACGGGCGAUCGAGAGGCCAGCAGCAGCAACAUCGGGCAAAAGCUCGGCCAAGAAGCUGAUCGAACUGGGUUCGGCUGGCCGUGAUUGCGAAUCUGCAAGACAAGCGAACGAAGCAGAGAUCGACGUCGGUCACCUGGUGAGCUACUGGGCUAUAUAUAUAGGCCUGGAGGCUCAUUAGCAUUUAGCAAGGGUCAAGGCCUCAAGGGGACAUAUGAAGGACUUUGAUGAAGAAUAAGAAAACAAAAAUUAAACAAGUUAUUCUACUAC